rnacentral:lncRNA from 1 species
AGUGAAUAGAAAUUAAGAAAAAAUACGGACAAAGAACAAAGCUAAAAUAAGUAUUUUCAUCUUCCAACAUGAAAUCAGCAGCUGUGAGAAUUUUUGAAAACUGCAUUUGCACUCGAAACUCUAGUGGCUUCAGAGUUAAAGAAAGCAUGCUGAGAGGUCUAUCAGUGCAAAGGGUCAUCUAUGAAAUCUCCACCUAGAUCUAAGGACCACUGGGCAAACAGCAUGGUGCUAAAUAUAACCAGCUGUUUUCCCCAGGAAGCAUAUCAGGACUCCAAAAAUCUCUGGCAUCCACUCUUUCCUGACAUAGAUCAUGUGGCUUAGGGGAAAACUAACACCACACACAGCUUCAAGGUGAGCAAGACUGGUUUAAGGAUAAUCUAACUUGCCUUGCCAGGGAUUGGUUCAGAAAUAAGCAGGUGACCCUCUCCUGAACCUGUUAGAGGCCAAUGAGAUGAGAGAUGUUAAGAACUUUUGGCAAAGUUCUUCCAAAUUCUGGAAGGUCUUCCGGAAGUAACGUUUUCGCUUUCCUGUUGGAUGUGAUCAAAGUAGCAUGUACCCCUUCCUGCUACUGGCAGGCAGCCUAUGAGAGUGAGGGUAAACUCCUCAGUCUGCAACCACUAUGAAGAGCAAGACUGAGAGAUGGAGAGAAGCUAGCUAGCUGAUGACGACAUUGUUGAGAUGCUGAAGUAAACAACCCUCAUGGGGUUCAGUUAUGUGAGCCAGUAAAUUUCUUCCCUGUUUAGUCUCAGGCAGCAUUUGUUAUUUACAUCUGAAAGCGUGCUAAGUAAUACUGUUUCUGUGCAUGGGCAUGAAGAAAACUGCUGGUGACAGAAACAAUAAAGCUGGGAUGGGAAUUUAUUUGAAAGUUGACAAGUUCAGCCUUGGGCACUGUAAGAUGAAGUUGAUAAUGCUCGCUUUUCUAGACUUGUAUCCAUUAGAGCAUACCUAAAGAACCAAUGUUCUUAUUCUCCAGCUAAGAAAAAUGUCCUAUUUAUCUUGUAGAAUUAGGGUGAAAAGCAGAAAAGUGAGAAGAGUUCUCAUGGAAUUUAUCCUUGGUUCAGAGCCAGACUUAGUCUUCCAUACUGAGCCCAGGUGCCUGUACUUAAUUCCUCCAGUUCUGGAUCCUUGUCUGCUGUUAUCUCAAAAACUGGCUGCUCCAUCUUUCUGUCCUCAUGUCUUUGCAAGGUCCUUAUGUGGCAACUGACGCCUCCAUUCAUCUCCUGGAAGUCUUGAUUUUCUGGUUUAUGGACUGAACCACUCCAUUAACAAUAUCAGAAAUAUCAAAAAUAUGUUCCUUGACUAUUAAUCUGAGAAUCUGACCCAGAACUAUUUUUUCAUUCUGGCUGCCAAACUCAACUAAUCUUGUUGCUGCCAUUUCUCAUUACAAUGAGCACACUGAGGUUUUGAAGAAUUUGUAAUUUCAUAUCACAUUUCUGAACAAAG